rnacentral:rRNA from 1 species
UACGGAGGGGGCUAGCGUUGUUCGGAAUUACUGGGCGUAAAGCGCGCGUAGGCGGACCUGCAAGUCGGGUGUGAAAUCCCCAGGCUUAACCUGGGAACUGCAUUCGAGACUGCAUUGCUAGAGUAUGGGAGAGGGAAGUGGAAUUUCCGGUGUAGCGGUGAAAUGCGUAGAUAUCGGAAGGAACAUCAGUGGCGAAAGCGACUUCCUGGACCAAUACUGACGCUCAUGUGCGAAAGCGUGGGGAGCAAACAGG